rnacentral:tRNA from 1 species
GAGGCUGUAGCUCAGUGGUAGAGCACCCGCCUUGCACGUGUGAAACACUGGGUUUGAUCUCAGCACCACA